GAUUUGUGUUUUCCUAUCAUCAUGCUCCUUUUUAGCCAAUGAAUUAGUACUAUGAAGAUAUUCCAAACAAGGGAACCCUUCCCAUGCCAUAAAGUGAAGUAAAAUGGACCAUCAUUACAUCACAUUGAAAUUUAGAGAUCACUGUCUAGCAUGCAGGAAGGACAGCAUCAUGGUCUUUUUCUUCUUCAUCACUUGUGAGGC